rnacentral:miRNA from 1 species
UGGGGAGCUGAGGCUCUGGGAGUG